rnacentral:lncRNA from 1 species
UAACAGCAUUCGAAGUAGUAACAUUAUCAGUCCCUAUUCCAAUAACAUUUAUCUGAACAAUAAACAAAAUAAUUAUACACUGUUUGAAAAAAGCAAGUGUAAUAAUAUAGAUAUUUUAUCAAGUCCUAACUGUAGUUUGGCAUAUACUGAAAACAGCCAUAUAUUAGAAAACGUAAAAAAAAACUAUAAAUUAGUUUUCUUACCAAAUGGUGAUAAACAUAAAAUAAAUUUGGAUACAAGUUUAAGUGAUUUUCAUAAAAAAUAUACAUCAGAAGAUAAUGCAUCAUUUGAAUAUUUAAUUAAAAAUAUGGAAAAACAGAAAUUAGAGAAAAAUUUAUAUUCUUUGAUUAAAAGAGAAAAAUAUAAUGAAAAAAUAAAAAUAAUAGAAGAAUAUACAAAAGAAGGAAAAAAAUGUGAUUUUAUAAAUACAAACAUAGCAGAAGAUGAAAAUAAAUCGAUGCAUUUUUCAUCAAGUUUUAAAAUCAGUAGUAAUAUAGAGAAUGAAAAAAAAAAAAAUAAAAUUAAAAUAUUGUAUGAAAACACUCGAUUUAGUAAUGAAUAUAAUAAAGAUAUAGAAAAUCAGGUUAAUAGAACUGAACAAAUAAAAGAAAUAAAAUUAUUAAACUCUGAAAAAGAAGUUAAAGAAAAUCAAAUGAUUACUCAAGGUAAAUUUAAUUUAUUAAAAGGAAAUGAUAAAUAUGAAUAUUUAAAGACGCCUUUAACACAUGAGAGUGAUAAUAAAAAAGGAAGCGAUGAUAAUUAUAGUAAUAAUAGCGAUAAGGAUCCUUGUGAUAGUAAACAAAUAAAUAAUACUAAUUAUUUGGAUGGUCUAAGUGAUGAUGAAUUUAACUUAUUUUUAAAAAACGAAUUUCGUUUACAACAGUUAAAUAAAAGAGAACAAGCUGCGGAGAAGUUACAAAAUCGAUUAAAAAAUAUGAAAUAUAAUAAAGAACUGUUAAAAAAAAAAAAAAUUAAAUCAUUGAUAAACAAAAAUUAUAGCUCUUUUAUGUCGAGUACAUCAUUUAGAACGUCUGUUUUGUCCAGACAUAGUCAGAAACGACUAAAUGAAUUGGCUUUGAAAUCU